AUAUUAAAGUUGUUGCAGUUAAAAAGCUCGUAGUUGAAUUUCGGGAUCAAUAUGUCGGUCGUGCUUCGGUACGUACUGGUAUCAUUGGUUUCUCCUUUCUGACGAACCAUGAUGUCAUUAAUUUGGUGUUAUGGGGAGUUAGGACUGUUACUUUGAAAAAAUUAGAGUGUUUAAAGCAGGCUUUAGCUUGAAUACAUUAGCAUGGAAUAAUGAAAUAGGACGUUCGAACCUAUUUUGUUGGUUUCUAGGAUCAACGUAAUGAUUAAUAGGGAUAGUUGGGGGCAUUAGUAUUCAAUUGUCAGAAGUGAAAUUCUUGGAUUUAUUGAAGACUAACUACUGCGAAAGCAUUUGCCAAGGAUGUUUUCAUUAAUCAAGAACGAAAGUUAGGGGAUCGAAGAUGAUCAGAUACCGUUGUAGUCUUAACCAUAAACUAUGCCGACUAGGGAUCGGAUGAUGUUAAUUUUUUAAUGACUCAUUCGGCGCCUUACGGG
rnacentral:rRNA from 1 species